GACGAACGCUGGCGGCGUGCCUAAUACAUGCAAGUCGAACGCUUUUUCUUUCACCGGAGCUUGCUCCACCGAAAGAAAAAGAGUGGCGAACGGGUGAGUAACACGUGGGUAACCUGCCCAUCAGAAGGGGAUAACACUUGGAAACAGGUGCUAAUACCGUAUAACACUAUUUUCCGCAUGGAAGAAAGUUGAAAGGCGCUUUUGCGUCACUGAUGGAUGGACCCGCGGUGCAUUAGCUAGUUGGUGAGGUAACGGCUCACCAAGGCAACGAUGCAUAGCCGACCUGGGAGGGUGAUCGGCCACACUGGGACCGAGACACGGCCCAGACUCCUACGGGAGGCAGCAGUAGGGAAUCUUCGGCAAUGGACGAAAGUCUGGCCGAGCAACGCCGCGUGAGUGAAGAAGGUUUACGGAUCGUAAAACUCUGUUGUUAGAGAAGAACAAGGAUGAGAGUAGAACGUUCAUCCCUUGACGGUAUCUAACCAGAGAGCCACGGCUAACUACGUGCCAGCCGCCGCGGUAA
rnacentral:rRNA from 1 species